rnacentral:rRNA from 1 species
GAUGAACGCUGGCGGCGUGCCUAAUACAUGCAAGUCGAGCGAACAGACGAGGAGCUUGCUCCUUCGACGUUAGCGGCGGACGGGUGAGUAACACGUAGGUAACCUACCUAUAAGACUGGGAUAACUUCGGGAAACCGGAGCUAAUACCGGAUAAUAUUUCGAACCGCAUGGUUCGAUAGUGAAAGAUGGCUUUGCUAUCACUUAUAGAUGGACCUGCGCCGUAUUAGCUAGUUGGUAAGGUAACGGCUUACCAAGGCAACGAUACGUAGCCGACCUGAGAGGGUGAUCGGCCACACUGGAACUGAGACACGGUCCAGACUCCUACGGGAGGCAGCAGUAGGGAAUCUUCCGCAAUGGGCGAAAGCCUGACGGAGCAACGCCGCGUGAGUGAUGAAGGUCUUCGGGUCGUAAAACUCUGUUAUUAGGGAAGAACAAACGUGUAAGUAACUGUGCACGUCUUGACGGUACCUAAUCAGAAAGCCACGGCUAACUACGUG